rnacentral:tRNA from 5 species
GCACUUGUAGUUCAGUUGGAUAGAGCGUUGGACUUCGAAUCCAGAAGUCGUGGGUUCGAAUCCCACCAAGUGUACCA